AUGAAGACAUCCAUGGGAGCUUUAAUCAUGUUCUUGUGGCUGCAGCUGAACUCGUUCAGCCUGGGAGAGAAUGUGGAGCAGCAUCCUUCUACCCUGAGUGUCCAGGAGGGAAGCAGCUCUUUUAUCAACUGCAGUUAUUCAGACAGUGCCUCACGUUACUUCCCCUCCUAUAAGCAAGAACUUGGGAACAGUUCCCAGCUCCUUAUAGACAUUGGUUCAACCAUGGCCACAAAAGAAGACCAAAGACUCACUUUUUCAUUUAAUAGGAUGGCCAAACAUCUCUCCCUGCACAUCAGAGACACACAGCCUGAAGACUGA